UUGAACGCUGGCGGAAUGCUUUACACCUGCAAGUCGAACGAUGAACCUUAGCUUGCUAAGGGGAUUAGUGGCGAACGGGUGAGUAAUAUAUCGGAACGUGCCUUGUAAUGGGGGAUAACUAGUCGAAAGAUUAGCUAAUACCGCAUACGCCCUGAGGGGGAAAGUAGGGGAUCUUCGGACCUUACGUUAUAAGAGCGGCCGAUAUCUGAUUAGCUAGUUGGUGGGGUAAUGGCCUACCAAGGCGACGAUCAGUAGCUGGUCUGAGAGGACGACCAGCCACACUGGAACUGAGACACGGUCCAGACUCCUACGGGAGGCAGCAGUGGGGAAUUUUGGACAAUGGGCGCAAGCCUGAUCCAGCCAUUCCGCGUGAGUGAAGAAGGCCUUCGGGUUGUAAAGCUCUUUCGCAAGGGAAGAAAACUUACCAUCGAAUAAAUGGUGAGGCUGACGGUACCUUGAUAAGAAGCACCGGCUAACUACGUG
rnacentral:rRNA from 1 species